AUUGAACGCUGGCGGCAGGCUUAACACAUGCAAGUCGAGCGAGCGGCGGACGGGUGAGUAAUGUCUGGGAAACUGCCUGAUGGAGGGGGAUAACUACUGGAAACGGUAGCUAAUACCGCAUACCAUCGGAUGUGCCCAGCUGGGAUUAGCUAGUAGGUGGGGUAAGGUCUCACCUAGGUGACGAUCCCUAGCUGGUCUGAGAGGAUGACCGGCCACACGGUAACUGAGCCACGGUCCAGACUCGUACGUGAGGCAGCAGUGGGGAUGAUUGCACAAUGGGCGCAAGCCGGAUGCAGCCAUGCGGCGUGUGUGAAGAAGGCCUUCGGGUUGUAAAGCACUUUCAGCGGGGAGGCGUUACUCGCAGAAGAAGCACCGGCUAACUCCGUGCCAGCAGCCGCGGUAAUUC
rnacentral:rRNA from 1 species